rnacentral:lncRNA from 1 species
UUCAGUAUAGUUUUACACAGUUUCGAUCUCAGUAGUUCGUUUCUGAUCGAACAGUCAAAAACGAUUAUUAUGUUAACACACUAACGGCGUAUAUUCCAUUUCCAUCGUAGAUUGCAUACAAUAUCCACACAAUAUUAUUAUUAAUAACAUUUACAUGCCCACACCUAACAAGUAAGUCAUAUAGUACUACAUAAAUUCUGUAACAACAAAACACUAGUUUCACACUAGAAUUUAG